CCUACGGGUGGCUGCAGUGAGGAAUAUUGGUCAAUGGGCGCAAGCCUGAUCCAGCGAAGUAGCGUGAAGGAUGACUGCCCUACGGGUUGUAAACUUCUUUUAUAAAGGAAUCAAUUGAGGCACGUGUGCCUUUUUCUAUGUACUUUAUGAAUACGGAUCGGCUAACUCCGGGCCAGCAGCCGCGGUAAUACGGAGGAGCCGAGCGUUAUCCGGAUUUAUUGGGUUUAAAGGGCGCGUAGAUGGGGUGUUAAGUCAGUUGUGAAAGUUUGGGGCUCAACCGUAAUAUUGCAAUUGAUACUGGCAGUCUUGAGUACAGUUGAGGUAGGCGGAAUUCGUGGUGUAGCGGUGAAAUGCUUAGAUAUCAGGAAGAACUCCGAUUGCGAAGGCAGCUUACUAAACUGCAACUGACGUUGAUGCUCGAAAGUGUGGGGAUCAAACAGGAUUAGAUACCCCAGUAGUC
rnacentral:rRNA from 1 species